rnacentral:rRNA from 1 species
AUAUUAUUAAGCGGAGGAAAAGAAACUAACAAGGAUUCCCCUAGUAACGGCGAGUGAAGCGGGAAGAGCUCAAAGUUAAAAUCGGGGCACCUAGCGGUGCUUCCGACUUGUAAUCUAGAGACACUUUUUCAGCUUCGACCCGGGUAUAAAUCUUUUGAAACAAGGUGUCAUAGAGGGUGAGAAUCCCGUCUUUGACCCGGAGUUCGGGGCGUACGAAGGGUGUUCCAAGAGUCGAAUAGCUUGGGAAUGCUGUUCUAAAUGGGUGGUAAAUUUCAUCUAAAGCUAAAUAUCGACGAGAGACCGAUAGCGCACAAGUA